UAACAGCUGACCAUAAUAACCAAGGUCAAAUUAUCUCACUGAAACAAAUGCUGCCAAGUGCUUGGUAUUAAUAAUGCAUUGAAAGCUGCAGCCACAUCUGAUGUUUUCUUCACUCUUGAGGAAAAGGAUUAUUGUUUAACUGGAUUUCCCUCCUGGAUCCCCAUAGGACAGUCUCUGAAACAGCCUGAAUGUUAAUGUUCCCCAUAUCUUGUUCUGAAUAUUCCUCAUGUCUUGUUUGUCUUCUCUAACGUAUCUCCCCUAGUCCCCUAGGAAUGAGGCCUUUUGUCACAGUAUGUGAUUUGUCC